UGAGUAACCUGCCCUUAACUCUGGGAUAAGCCUGGGAAACUGGGUCUAAUACCGGAUAUGACUCCUCAUCGCAUGGUGGGGGGUGGAAAGCUUUAUUGUGGUUUUGGAUGGACUCGCGGCCUAUCAGCUUGUGGUGAGGUAAUGGCUCACCAAGGCGACGACGGGUAGCCGGCCUGAGGAGGGUGACCCGGCCACACGUGGGACUGAGACACGGCCCAGACCUCCGUACGGGAGGCAG
rnacentral:rRNA from 1 species